rnacentral:rRNA from 1 species
ACGAACGCUGGCGGCGUGCUUAACACAUGCAAGUCGAACGUGAAAGUCCUUCGGGAUGAGUAAAGUGGCGCACGGGUGAGUAAUAGAUAGGAACGCAUCCUAUGGUGGGGAACAACCACGGGAAACUGUGGCUAAUACCGCAUAAGAUCGAAAGAUGAAAGAGGGCCUCUACUUGUAAGCUCUUGCCGUUUGAGCGGCCUAUCUCCCAUUAGCUAGUUGGUAGGGUAAAGGCCUACCAAGGCUACGAUGGGUAGCUGGUCUGAGAGGAUGAUCAGCCACACUGGAACUGAGACACGGUCCAGACUCCUACGGGAGGCAGCAGUGGGGAAUCUUGCACAAUGGGCGAAAGCCUGAUGCAGCAACGCCGCGUGAGUGAAGAAGGUCUUUGGAUUGUAAAGCUCUUUCGGCUGGGAAGAAGGGUUUAUUGGUUAAUACCCAGUAAAUUUGACGGUACCAGAAGAAGAAGCACCGGCUAACUCCGU